rnacentral:rRNA from 1 species
UACGAAGGGGGCUAGCGUUGUUCGGAAUUACUGGGCGUAAAGCGCAUGUAGGCGGUCCUGCAAGCCAGGGGUGAAAUCCCGGAGCUUAACUCCGGAAUUGCCUUUGGAACUGUUGGACUGGAGUCUCGGGGGGGAUGGUGGAAUUCCAAGUGUAGAGGUGAAAUUCGUAGAGAUUUGGAGGAACACCGGUGGCGAAGGCGACCAUCUGGACGAGUACUGACGCUGAGAUGCGAAAGCGUGGGGAGCAAACAGG